rnacentral:rRNA from 1 species
AUACGGAGGGUGCAAGCGUUAUUCGGAAUCACUGGGCGUAAAGGGUGCGUAGGCGGUUUGAUAAGUCUGAUGUGAAAUCCUAUGGCUCAACCAUAGAACUGCAUUGGAAACUGUCAGACUAGAAUACUGAAGGGGCAGAUGGAAUUAGUGGUGUAGGGGUAAAAUCCGUAGAUAUCACUAGGAAUACCGAAAGCGAAAGCGAUCUGCUGGGAAGUUAUUGACGCUGAGGCACGAAAGCGUGGGGAGCAAACUGGAUUAGAAACCCUAGUAGUCC